rnacentral:lncRNA from 1 species
AGGACUUUGUGAUCUUCAAACUACUUGGCUACAGUUUUAUUUUUAUGAAGUUGAGGCAGCCACUGUUUUUCUAAAGCUGCAUAUCUGCAGAAUAGAUGAUGAUUUUUUUCUACCAUGGAAUGUUCUUAUCAUUGUGUCUGGACUUUUUUUUUUUUUUUUUAAUGGCCACACCUGCAGCAUCUGGAAAUUCCAGGGCCAGGGGUUGAAUCCUAGCUUCAGCUUCUGCAGCACUGUGCCAGGCCAGGGUUUGAACCCGAACCUCUGCACAGCAACCCAAGCCACUGCAGCUGGAUUCUUAACCCGCUGUGCCACAGUGGGAACUCCAAGUCUAGACUUUCAACAGCUCUAGUUUCAAAUUAAUGGAGAAGGAAAUUUUCCCUGGUUUUCUAAUUUAGAAUACUGAUGUUAUGCAUAUAGAGAGACAGUUAUGGGCAGCUGAAUGUCUACCUUGACUACAGGAAGUCUUGCUGCCAUCAGAGCCCUGCUUCUCUCCCCAUCUUAAGACAACAGAAAAAUGUUAUACUGGGGCAAUCUGUGAACUCCUAGCCAACUCAACCACCACCAGAGAUAGGACCCCGAAGGCAAAGCUUUAUAGCAUCCAUGCAAUAAAUGGCAAUUUGGUGGAAGUGAACAACUACAGUUUAUCCACUCUUCAAAGGCAUCAUGGCUGAAACAGGCUUCUGUCCAAUUACCUGGGAAGCUAACCAGUAAACCAGUCUCCUAUGGGAAAAGUUGACAAUGACCUUGGCAACAACGAGAAAAGCCCAAAAGAGCACUGAGUAGAAGAGAUGUCUGAGUUCUGGGUCCAAACCACACCCGUUCUUGGAUAAUUCAUGAAUAUUCCUCACACUCUGUCCAAUUUCAUCCCUUUUACCUAGAUCCUUCUAUAUAUUCAGUGUCUCCACCUGAAUUGGGUGGAGAAGUUGAUUUGCAAACCAGGUUCCUGCUUCUCCAUUCCUUGGCUGUUGAAUAAAACUUGUGCUGUUCUAGUCUCGGCAUUGUUCCCCUUACUGGCUAUGCAAAUCUAAUCAGAAAAGAAACUCUCUGAUCCAGACAGGGGGAUUCGGCCCAGGCUAGUGCCCUGGUGUGGAUCUGGUUGAACAAUGUGCUAACGAACUUAAGGAUGUAAGCGUUUAUAAAUUCCCAGUUAUCUGGUUUAAUCUGAAACCUUCUUGCAGUUCAUAUCAAUCAUGCAACAUUUACUGGGUUGCUUUUCUAGAAAAACCAAUGCAGACUAAACAAAAUUACUGAUGGUUUAAUUACUAUCUCAGAUUCUUUGAAUGUGAUCUAAAUAAAUAAUUUCUCACCUACCCCAUAGUCAGAAGUUUUUCUAGUAUGACUAGAGAAAAUCCAUUAUACUGCACCUAUGCCAUUGUCUAUUGCAUUUAAAAUUUUGCUUUUAUGCAUGCUAAAGCACAAACAUGUUGUUUAGUCUACUUCUAUAGAAAGGCUAUUUUAUUUUUUCAUCUUAGUUUGCUCUUUGGCUCAAAUACUAUGAUACCAUCUAGACGUGAAAAUAUAUGCACCUCCAAUGAUGGUCCUUUCCUUACAAAUCCUCCCCGAAUAUCUGUGCUGGAUUAGGUUUUUUCUGUAACUCUGAGUUAUAGAAAUGCUGAAAAUAAUCUAAGGUGUUUGUAUAAAAGGGAGAUAUAAAAAUGGGAGAUAGCACAAGAGCUAAUUAAAGGGAAACCUACAAUUAGAUGGGUUCCCUUGAUUAAUGGCAUUGGAACUGUCUGAUGAGUGAUGGGUGGGGGAAUUUCAAAGUCCACACUGAUCUAGAUUCGGUACCUUUAAGAAUGAAGAACUCUCAUGCCCACCUUAAAAUGAACUUUUAAGAAAAACCUACCUCAGGGAAACGUUUAGAAAGACUAAAGCAUUUUGGCAGCACAAUCUGCCUGGUAAGAGUAACUUUUUAAUUCCAACUUUUUCAAACUUAAUUCACUCCAUAGGAAGUGACAACCAGUUAUUGAACUAAGUCAAAGCCUCAGGUAAAGUACAAGUUCAUCUAAAUAGGGGAAUUAAACACACAGAUCCUGAAAGUUCUAGAGAACACUGCAGGAUGCCCUGCUGCACCAUUCCAAAUAUCUACAUUUGUUCGGGUACGUUGCUCAAGAAGGGGAACAUUUGCACAUUUAUUGAAAGGGAAUUGAAUGGCAGCCAUUGUUAUGUGACUGGAAUGCUACAUUCCAUACUUUACAUAGUCAUGUCUAAGACUUUACAUUGGGGGAAAAGGACAAAGAACAUAUUAUCUUCUAUGGUUUUCUUAUGGCCUUGAAGGCAAAUCCUUCAUAAGAUAUGUCACCCUUCUAAAAGGCUAGUGAUGGACUGAAUGAGAUGUCCAGUGAGAAAUUCAGUUUGCAAGUAUGAUAUAUAAUUGUAAUUAAUUCAAAAAAUUUGCUUCAUUUGCUGAAACUGGAGCAUCCUGUGGUGCCAUUAAGUAAGGAAGUGCUGGAAAAAAACCUGGGGGCAUAUGGAAAGGACACAGGAGCCCAUCUGAAGGAGCUCCUAAUGGCCAAGACUGGGACAACUUGAGCAGAAAACUAAAUAAGGACAGUAUUGGAUUAUAACCCAAAGAAUCAACUAACUAUCCAUGAGUUCAUCCUGCUGUAAAUCAAUGAUGGAUAAAUAGAUGAAAGCAGGAGAAAGAACAAUUCUUACAGAAGAAUUCCAAUAGUAAUUGUAGGAUAAAUGAAGGAAACGGAAAAAUUAGAAAACCGCAGACCUUGGCAUAUACCCAAGUCAAACCAUAAUAUGAAAGGAUACAUGCACCCUUGUGUUCAUAGCAGCACUAUUCACAACAGCCAAGACAUGAAAGCAAUCUACGUGUUCAUCAACAGAUGAAUGGAUAAGGAAGAUGUGGCAGACACAUACACACACCCACACACACACUGGAAUAUCACUCAGUUAUAAAAAAGAAUGAAGUAAUGCCAUUUGCAUGGACCUAGAGAUUAUCAUACUAAGUGAAGCUAAGUCAGAAAGAGAAAGACAAAUACCAUACGAUAUCACUUACAUGUAGAAUCUAAAACACAAUUCAAAUCAACGUACCUAUGAAACAGAGACAGAUUUACAGGUAUAAAGAAGAGACUUGUGGUUGCCAAGGGGGAGUGGGGGUGUGGAGGAAAGGAUUGGGAGUUGGGGAUUAGCAGAUGAAAAGUAGUAUAUAUAGCAUAGAUAAACAACAAGGUCCUACUGUAUAGCACAGGGAACUGUAUUCAAGAUCCUGUGACAAACCAUAAUGAAAAAUAAUAUGAAAAAGAAUAUAUAGGAGUUCCUAUUGUGGCUCAGUGGUGAUGAAUCUGACAGGUGUCUAUGAGGAUGCAGGUUCGAUCCCUGGCCCCACUCAGUGGGUUGAGGAUCCAGUGCUGCCCUAAGCUGUGGUGUAGGUUGCAGAUGUGGCUCAG